AUUAAUCAGGUUACAAAUAUGCUUGCUGUGAUAGACGGUGUUGGCGGUGAUACUAGUGUUAAGCCGCAACAACCGGUAUGUCACUUGCUCUCUGUCCCUCACCGUCGUUUUGAUGUUUAUAGUAAUAAAAAUUAUUUCGUUCAGUUCGAGAACAGACACUACA